rnacentral:lncRNA from 1 species
UUAUUGGGAGGCAACCCAAGUUCAAUUUUUAUUUUUAGCUUUUAUUAAGUUUUAUAUUAGUAGUUUUGAAUUUGCAUUUAUUUAGGAUUUAAUAAAAUUGCUUCUAUCAUGGUUUUACAGGUUAUUCAAGUCAAAUUCAAGUGUGGUGCCCAAUUUGUUCCAUGUGCUUAGCCUAUUCUCCAAACUUAGCGGACAAGGAGGAAGAUUGCUAUAUUUUCAGGGAAGUCCUCUGCUUUAAUUUUUUCUAUUGUAGCCAUUGAGGACAAUGUCUAGUUUAAGUUUAGGGGCAUUUUAGUGUCGUACUGCAUAUAGUUAGUUAUCUGCAUAGUAGUUUAUUUUUUUUUUAUGUGUUAGCAUUAUGUUUUUUUUAGGUUGCAUAUAAUACAUGGUAUUUUUUUUUUGGCAUCUUCAUAUAUGUGUUCAUGUAGUAUAAUUGCAUUUUUUCUUAUUUUUGCAUGAAUCUGUGUGAUAGGUUGGUGUGGUCUUAGCUCGGCUUAUGAUAAGAUUGGUUUUGCAUGUUAACU